GAUCAAUAUGAAAAUAGAUAAAUCUGAGCAUCAAAGACCUUCCAGCCUAUCUGAUACAUGAUCUCUGUAGCUCUGAGA
ensembl:snoRNA